rnacentral:rRNA from 1 species
GGAUGAACGCUGGCGGCGUGCCUAAUACAUGCAAGUCGAGCGAACAGACGAGGAGCUUGCUCCUCUGACGUUAGCGGCGGACGGGUGAGUAACACGUGGAUAACCUACCUAUAAGACUGGGAUAACUUCGGGAAACCGGAGCUAAUACCGGAUAAUAUAUUGAACCGCAUGGUUCAAUAGUGAAGGACGGUUUUGCUGUCACUUAUAGAUGGAUCCGCGCCGCAUUAGCUAGUUGGUAAGGUAACGGCUUACCAAGGCAACGAUGCGUAGCCGACCUGAGAGGGUGAUCGGCCACACUGGAACUGAGACACGGUCCAGACUCCUACGGGAGGCAGCAGUAGGGAAUCUUCCGCAAUGGGCGAAAGCCUGACGGAGCAACGCCGCGUGAGUGAUGAAGGUCUUCGGAUCGUAAAACUCUGUUAUUAGGGAAGAACAAAUGUGUAAGUAACUAUGCACGUCUUGACGGUACCUAAUCAGAAAGCCACGGCUAACUACGUG